rnacentral:rRNA from 1 species
CGGGUGAGUAACACGUGGGUGACCUGCCCUUAGCUCUGGGAUAAGCCUGGGAAACUGGGUCUAAUACCGGAUAUGACCUCAUGACUCAUGUUGUGGGGUGGAAAGCCUUGUGCGGCUAGGGAUGGGCCCGCGGCCUAUCAGCUUGUUGGUGGGGUAAUUGCCUACCAAGGCGACGACGGGUAGCCGGCCUGAGAGGGCGACCGGCCACACUGGGACUGAGACACGGCCCAG